UGCCAGCCGCCGCGGUAAUACGGAGGGUGCAAGCGUUAUCCGGAAUCACUGGGUUUAAAGGGUGCGUAGGUGGCUCAAUCAGUCAGAGGUGAAAUCUUGCGGCUUAACCGUAAAAUUGCCUUUGAUACUGUUGGGCUUGAAUUAGGUUGAGGUUGGCGGAAUGUGGCAUGUAGCGGUGAAAUGCAUAGAUAUGCCAUAGAACACCAAUUGCGAAGGCAGCUGACUAGACCUUAAUUGACACUGAGGCACGAAAGCGUGGGGAGCGAACAGGAUUAGAUA
rnacentral:rRNA from 1 species